rnacentral:miRNA from 1 species
UUUGUAUUACGUACGGAAAUUGUUACCAUUUUUGAGCCGAAAAUGGUAACAAUUUCCGCACGUCAUACAAA